CCUCCAACAGAUCCAGCAGCAG
rnacentral:miRNA from 1 species